rnacentral:misc_RNA from 1 species
GAUGAAGAACGUAGUGAAAUGCGAUAAGUAAUGUGAAUUGCAGAAUUCAGUGAAUCAUCGAAUCUUUGAACGCACAUUGCGCCCUCUGGUAUUCCGGGGGGCAUGCCUGUUCGAGCGUCAUUUCAACCCUCAAGCUCUGCUUGGUAUUGGGCCCCGCCGGCACCCGGCGCGCCCUAAAAUCAGUGGCGGCGUCAUCUGGCUCCGAGCGUAGUAAUUCUUCUCGCUCUGGAGGUCCGGGUGUGUGCUCGCCAGCAACCCCCAAUUUUUUUCAGGUUGACCUCGGAUCAGGUAGGGAUACCCGCUGAACUUAAGCAUAUCAAUAAGCGGAGGA